rnacentral:rRNA from 1 species
GGAGUUAGCCGGUGCUUCUUCUGCGAGUAACGUCACAGAUGUAAGGUAUUAACUUACACCCUUUCCUCCUCGCUGAAAGUGCUUUACAACCCGAAGGCCUUCUUCACACACGCGGCAUGGCUGCAUCAGGGUUUCCCCCAUUGUGCAAUAUUCCCCACUGCUGCCUCCCGUAGGAGUCUGGGCCGUGUCUCAGUCCCAGUGUGGCUGAUCAUCCUCUCAGACCAGCUAGGGAUCGUCGCCUAGGUGAGCCUUUACCUCACCUACUAGCUAAUCCCACCUGGGCUUAUCCAUCAGCGCAAGGCCCGAAGGUCCCCUGCUUUCCCCCGUAGGGCGUAUGCGGUAUUAGCAGUCGUUUCCAACUGUUAUCCCCCACAAAUGGGCAAAUUCCCAGGCAUUACUCACCCGUCCGCCGCUCGUCAUCUUCAAAAGCAAGCUUUUGAAAUGUUACCGCUCGACUUGCAUGUGUUAGGCCUGCCGCCAGCGUUCAAUCUGAGCCAGGAUCGAAACCUNACGUACGAGACGGCGGUCGUCGACGACGGCG